rnacentral:rRNA from 1 species
CCUACGGGAGACUGCAGUGGGGGAUAUUGGACAAUGGGGGGAACCCUGAUCCAGCGACGCCGCGUGAGUGAAGAAGUAUUUCGGUAUGUAAAGCUCUGUCAGCAGGGAAGAAAGAAAUGACGGUACCUGACCAAGAAGCCCCGGCUAACUACGUGCAAGCAGCCGCGGGAAUACGUAGGGGGCAAGCGUUAUCCGGAAUUACUGGGUGUAAAGGGAGCGUAGACGGUUAAGUAAGUCUGGAGUGAAAGGCCGGGGCCCAACCCCGGGACUGCUCUGGAAACUAUUGAACUUGAGUGCAGGAGAGGUAAGCGGAAUUCCUAGUGUAGCAGUGAAAUGCGUAGAUAUUAGGAGGAACACCAGUGGCGAAGGCGGCUUACUGGACUGUAACUGACGUUGAGGCUCGAAAGCGUGGGGAGCAAACAGGAUUAGAUACCCCAGUAGUC